UCCUGCAUUUAGUGGCAGGAUUUAUAGAGGCAGCGAUGGUUACUCCUCCUGUUGCUCGGUUUGGUCGGGGCCGGCGGGGCGUCCUCCAGGGAUCCGGCGGCUGUUAUCGCCCGUGUGCGUAAUGGCUGCGGUCGUUUCCCUCCCGCGGAUCAUCCCACAGUAAUGGAAGAGGUUGUUGUCCGCGAUGAAUUGCCUGUUGUUCAUUUAAGGUGUCGUUGCCGCCGUGCGGUUCGCCGGCCGUUGCGUUCUGGACGGGUUGGUAAGUUCAUUCAGCCUACUCGAGUAUUUGCAAGCUUAUUUAGUAUGUUUACGUAUUGGUUUACUCGGAGUGUGGUCGCUUCAUUUGGUUGCUUUUUUUUGUACAUGGUCAACGUUUGGUUCCCCAUCGGCGGUCUUGAUCGCCGCCGUCAAGAGAUUUCUUUAGGGAAGUGGCCUGUUGACUCUACUUAAGGCAAGUGCGUUGGCUUCUUGUUAUGCAUGCGACUGUCUCUGUCUGCUUGCGUACGUUUCUUUUUCUGCCUUGCUUACUACACUCGCUUCUUUCUUCUCUUCCUUUUUGUGAAGGCUACACUCUUACUGCUGAUUGUUCUUGUGCAUUUGAUGGUCUCAUGCCUGCUGCUCCGCUCGCCGGCGUGGGAUCUGCUUCCUCGGUGGCCCAGACGAUUCAUGGGUCGUCUGGUUAUCCUUUUUCUCUUCCUGCUGAUGUUCACCUUGAUCAUCGCUUGGUGGGUGCUCCGUCUGUUGUUAAUCGUUCCAAGGGUGUGCCUUUGCGUGUGGCCGGUGCUUUCGGUCGGCCUACUCCUCUUGGGUUUGCCAUCUCCGAUUCGCUUCGCCACACGAAGCGGUGUUCUUCUUUCUUGGUGGGUAGGUCAUGGUGGUUCUUGCCGAAGUGGUGUCUGCCGCCGGGGCCGUCCAUACCUCGUCGGAGCCCCAACUGCCAGGAUGCAAUUCAUCUCUCGGCGCCAGUACAAUCUCCCCUACGCGGCCGAGUUGGCGGCGCACGCAUGAGAUAUCACCGACUACUGGUGGGAGCCAUCACCGACGACUUGCAAGAGGUGCAUGCGGAGGGCCUGAUAUGGUGGGGUUCAGUGCAGCAAUCUGGCCGAUGCUACUAUCCUUAGCCGUUGGUCGCUGACUCUGCCACAAACCCCUACGCCACCGCAAACAUGCCCAUGGCCGUCCCCGUUGGUGACGACUUCUCGUGGUUUGGGUAGGGCAGCGGAGGCUACGAUAGGAGGGUUAGAGGUGGCGGUGGCGGUUGAGAGGCUAAAUCCAGGUUAAUGUCACGUCGCUCAAUCCAUCUAUUUUUUCCGCGCUGGUGGCUUCCGCUCUGGUGGUAGAGGAAGCAGGAAAGGGAGGGAUGGUUUGGGCCGGGCAUGCCUUAUAAUGUAUCUGUGUAGAUUAUGAUAUUUCCAUCAAUGACCAAAAUUACUAUGCUCUUGAAGUUACAAAGGAAAGACUGUUCACGGCCAGAGAAAAUGCACAAGCAAAGCAAUGGCGAUUCAAUAUGGCCCGUCAGCAAGUAGCUGCGCAGCAAAACAAGUUUACAAGACAAACAAUGAUUCUAGCAGCAAUGUGCAACAAUUUUUUUGAUAUAUUGCCACUCCGUAUGUACCCUCAGCGCCCAGGCAGCGAUGAUCCUAUCAUCACGUACACAGGCGCGCAUCCUCCUGUUGGACGUAUGUAAGAAUUUGCAAAAGCUCUGUACCACUUCAUCACCGGCGCCAAUCCUACAGGAGGAUACACCAGGAUGAUCUAAUCCACCACAGACUGCUUCUAGCUUACUUAUAUGGCGUGGUUGUGUGGCUUACUUCUACUGCGUGGUUGUGUGGCUUACUUCUACAGCGUGGUUGUGUCUCUAUAUACAGUUCACCACAUAGAGUGGACUGCAUAUAGUUUGAAUAAUUAGUUUAUCUUAGAAGCGUGCCACUUCUAAAUAGUCUGUUUGUAUCCACAGAUUUGCAAGAUUUUAAUAAAUUCACAUCUCCAGUGUCUUCAA